AGCAGCCGCGGUAAUUCCAGCUCCAAUAGCGUAUAUUAAAGUUGUUGCAGUUAAAAAGCUCGUAGUUGAAUUUCGGGGUUAGUAGGUUGGUCAUGCCUCUGGUAUGUACUGGUCUCACUGAUUCCUCCUUCCUGAUGAGCCGUAAUGCCAUUAAUUUGGUGUUGCGGGGAAUUUGGACUGUUACUUUGAAAAAAUUAGAGUGUUUAAAGCAAGCUAACGCUUGAAUACAUUAGCAUGGAAUAAUGAAAUAGGACGUUCGAUCCUAUUUUGUUGGUUUCUAGGAUUGACGUAAUGAUUAAUAGGGGUAGUUGGGGGCAUUAGUAUUCAAUUGUCAGAGGUGAAAUUCUUGGAUUUAUUGAAGACUAACUACUGCGAAAGCAUUUGCCAAGGAUGUUUUCAUUAAUCAAGAACGAAAGUUAGGGGAUCGAAGACGAUCAGAUACCGUCGUAGUCUUAACCAUAAACUAUGCCGACUAGGGAUCGGAUGAUGUUAAUUUUUAAUGACUCAUUCGGCGCCUUAC
rnacentral:rRNA from 1 species